UAAGUUUGCCUGAAGAGAAUGCAGAUGAAC
rnacentral:piRNA from 1 species